rnacentral:rRNA from 1 species
AACGAACGCUGGCGGCAGGCUUAACACAUGCAAGUCGAACGCACCUUUCGGGGUGAGUGGCCGACGGGUGAGUAACGCGUGGGAAUCUACCCUUCUCUACGGGAUAGCUCCGGGAAACUGGAAUUAAUACCGUAUACGUCCUGAGGGAGAAAGAUUUAUCGGGGAAGGAUGAGCCCGCGUUGGAUUAGCUAGUUGGUGGGGUAAAGGCCUACCAAGGCGACGAUCCAUAGCUGGUCUAAGAGGAUGAUCAGCCACAUUGGGACUGAGACACGGCCCAAACUCCUACGGGAGGCAGCAGUGGGGAAUAUUGGACAAUGGGCGCAAGCCUGAUCCAGCCAUGCCGCGUGAGUGAUGAAGGCCCUAGGGUUGUAAAGCCCUUUCAGUGGGGACGAUAAUGACGGUACCCACAGAAGAAGCCCCGGCUAACUUCGUG